AUUGAACGCUGGCGGCAGGCCUAACACAUGCAAGUCGGGCGGAUGAAGGGAGCUUGCUCCUGGAUUCAGCGGCGGACGGGUGAGUAAUGCCUAGGAAUCUGCCUGGUAGUGGGGGAUAACGUCCGGAAACGGGCGCUAAUACCGCAUACGUCCUGAGGGAGAAAGUGGGGGAUCUUCGGACCUCACGCUAUCAGAUGAGCCUAGGUCGGAUUAGCUAGUUGGUGGGGUAAAGGCCUACCAAGGCGACGAUCCGUAACUGGUCUGAGAGGAUGAUCAGUCACACUGGAACUGAGACACGGUCCAGACUCCUACGGGAGGCAGCGGUGGGGAAUAUUGGACAAUGGGCGAAAGCCUGAUCCAGCCAUGCCGCGUGUGUGAAGAAGGUCUUCGGAUUGUAAAGCACUUUAAGUUGGGAGGAAGGGCAGUAAGUUAAUACCUUGCUGUUUUGACGUUACCAACAGAAUAAGCACCGGCUAACUUCGUG
rnacentral:rRNA from 1 species